rnacentral:rRNA from 1 species
UACGGGAGGCAGCAGGGGGAAUAUUGCACAAUGGGCGCAAGCCUGAUGCAGCCAUGCCGCGUGUAUGAAGAAGGCCUUCGGGUUGUAAAGUACUUUCAGUCGUGAGGAAGGUGUUAAGGUUAAUAACCUUAGCAAUUGACGUUAGCGACAGAAGAAGCACCGGCUAACUCCGUGCCAGCAGCCGCGGUAAUACGGAGGGUGCGAGCGUUAAUCGGAAUUACUGGGCGUAAAGGGCACGCAGGCGGUUAAUUAAGUUGGAUGUGAAAUCCCCGGGCUUAACCUGGGAAUGGCAUUCAAGACUGGUUAGCUAGAGUCUUGUAGAGGGGGUAGAAUUCCGAUGUGUAGCGGUGAAAUGCGUAGAGAUGUGGAGGAAUACCGGUGGCGAAGGCGGCCCCUGGACAAAGACUGACGCUCAUGUGCGAAAGCGUGGGGAGCAAACGAGGGAUUAGAUACC